UGCGAAGGGGGCUAGCGUUGCUCGGAAUCACUGGGCGUAAAGGGUGCGUAGGCGGGUCUUUAAGUCAGGGGUGAAAUCCUGGAGCUCAACUCCAGAACUGCCUUUGAUACUGAAGAUCUUGAGUGCGGGAGAGGUGAGUGGAACUGCGAGUGUAGAGGUGAAAUUCGUAGAUAUUCGCAAGAACACCAGUGGCGAAGGCGGCUCACUGGCCCGAUACUGACGCUGAGGAGCGAAAGCAUGGGGAGCGAACAGG
rnacentral:rRNA from 1 species